rnacentral:misc_RNA from 1 species
AUAAGAGACAGGUGAGUCAUCGAAUCUUUGAACGCACAUUGCGCCCUUUGGUAUUCCGAAGGGCACACCUGUUCGAGCGCCGGUUUCCUACUAAGGCUUCAGCCUUGCGUUGACGAUCGGCCCCGGGAGGGGGCGCGUCGAAACGGGAACAGAGGCGUCUCCGGGCGGCGACGGCAGCGUAGCAAUAAAACCCUCGCUGGCGGGCCGCGGACGGCAGACGGCCGGUUUGACCAACUGACGGUUUGGCCUCGGAUCAGGUGGGGAUACCCGCUGAACUUAAGCAUAUCAAUAAGCGGAGGA